rnacentral:lncRNA from 1 species
UACCAAACUAAUAAAACAGGAAAUUUAUUCAAAAUAAGCAAUAAAAACAAACCAAACAAAUAAGCAAAUAAACAGAAAACAAAAUAACCGAAAAAUAAAAUAAAUAAAAUAAGAAAAAAUCCAAAUAACUGAAAAGAAAAGAGAAUUAGAGAGAUAAAACCAUAUUUUUGUUCAAUCCUCUAUUCUUUAGAAGUCAUCCAGCAUUUUGUUAAAAUUUUU